rnacentral:rRNA from 1 species
CAGUAGCCACGGGAACACCGAGGAUGCAAGCGUUAUCCGGAAUGAUUGGGCGUAAAGCGUCUGUAGGUGGCUUUUCAAGUCCGCCGUCAAAUCCCAGGGCUCAACCCUGGACAGGCGGUGGAAACUACCAAGCUGGAGUACGGUGGGGGCAGAGGGAAUUUCCGGUGGAGCGGUGAGAUGCGUUGAGAUUGGAAAGAACACCAACGGCGAAAGCACUCUGCUGGGCCGACACUGACACUGAGAGACGAAAGCUAGGGGAGCAAAUGGGAUUAGAGACCCCUGUAGUCCCUGUCUCUUAUAC